rnacentral:lncRNA from 1 species
CCAGCUGAGAUGAAGAAGUGGUCCAUGUGUUCGCUCCUACCGAUAGAGAAUUCAAAAUCCAUCUGAUCUCCCUCUUAAUAUCAAAAAUCCUACCACUGAACCUGAGUAGGGAGCUCUCCAUACUCUCCAGUCUAAUACUUAGAUCAAAUAAAAGCUCCAUUAAUGAAGAGAUGUGUGGCAUGAUAGAUAAAUUCGAGGAA